UAAGACGUAGGAUGCAAGCGUUGUCCGGAUUUAUUGGGCGUAAAGAGUUCGUAGGCGGUUCGUUAAGUCUGAUGUUAAAGAUCGGGGCUCAACCCCGGGAGUGCAUUGGAUACUGGCGGACUGGAGUGCGGUAGAGGUUAGUGGAAUUCCUGGUGUAGCGGUGAAAUGCGUAGAUAUCAGGAAGAACACCAGUGGCGUAGGCGACUAACUGGGCCGUAACUGACGCUGAGGAACGAAAGCCAGGGGAGCGAAUGGGAUUAGAUACCCCAGUAGUCCUGGCCGUAAACGAUGGAUACUAGGCGUAGUGGGUAUCGACCCCUACUGUGCCGCAGCUAACGCGAUAAGUAUCCCGCCUGAGUAGUACGGCCGCAAGGUUG
rnacentral:rRNA from 1 species